rnacentral:rRNA from 1 species
GGAGGGUGCGAACGUUGUUCGGAAUUACUGGGCAUAAAGAGCUCGUAGGCGGCUGUGCAAGUGUGGAGUGAAAUCCCACGGCUUACCCGUGGAACUGCUUUGCAGACUGCACGGCUAGAGGAUGGUAGGGGAGAGCGGAACUCCUGGUGGAGCGGUGAAAUGCGUAGAUAUCAGGAGGAACACCGGUGGCGAAGGCGGCUCUCUGGUCCAUCUCUGACGCUGAGGAGCGAAAGCCAGGGUAGCGAACGGGAUUAGAUACCCCGGUAGUCCUGGCCCGUAAACGAUGGGCACUAGCUAGGGGUCUCCCCCCUGUGGGAUCCCUGGUGAAGCAAAUGUGUUAAGUGCCCCCGCCUGGGAGUAUGGUCGCAAGGCUG